rnacentral:rRNA from 1 species
CCUACGGGAGGCAGCAGUGAGGAAUAUUGGUCAAUGGGCGGGAGCCUGAACCAGCCAAGUCGCGUGAGGGAAGACGGUCCUAUGGAUUGUAAACCUCUUUAGGCGGGGAGCAAUGCCGGGCACGCGUGCCCGGAGGGAGAGUACCCGCAGAAUAAGCAUCGGCUAACUCCGUGCCAGCAGCCGCGGUAAUACGGAGGAUGCGAGCGUUAUCCGGAUUUAGUGGGUUUAAAGGGUGCGUAGGCGGAUUUUUAAGUCAGCGGUAAAAUGUCCGGGCUCAACCCGGGCCGGCCGUUGAAACUGGGGAUCUUGAGUGGGCGAGAAGUAUGCGGAAUGCGUGGUGUAGCGGUGAAAUGCAUAGAUAUCACGCAGAACUCCGAUCGCGAAGGCAGCAUACCGGCGCCCGACUGACGCUGAGGCACGAAAGCGUGGGGAUCGAACAGGAGUAGAUACCCGUGUAGUC